ensembl:lncRNA
CUUUCACAUACGGUAGUUUGAAAAAGUCAUUAUUAGACAGUCAGUAAAUUGUUUAGGUUGAAAUAAGGCAAAUUUAAAUCUUUUAUUUCAAUUCUUUCAUUAAGAGCUCUUGACAUCUAAUGGAGAGGCAUGUCAGCUUCUUCUGUGUGAGGUAACAAAACCAGGAGAGGCUCUGAAGAGUGAGUAAUGUCCAAGUUUGUUUCCAAAUACUGCAUUAUGCAUAGGCGUUUUUUGUUUGUUUGUUUAUAAAACAGACCCAUGACUUUCUGAGACUAUGAUGAGCAGUUGUUGUUUAUGUAAAGCAGGAGCUUCUGCAGCUGUUUACAGAUGAAAUUAUGCAAAGCACUGUAUACUUAAAAUUACACUGCAGAUAGUGGGUAUACACAAGUCAGAACACACAUUCAAUGAGUGGGAUUUCAAAGUAAUUAAGCAUCUCACAACUUCAAACCCUUAUACAUUGUUAUGCAAAUGAAGAAAAGGGUAUACUUUAUGGAAAUGUCCAAGUUUUAUUUUUUUUUUAACCUAAUAAUUAUGACAUAAAACACAUGAAACAUAAUGGAGGAAUUCUAAAUCCUUCCCAACUAUGCACUCCAGUGAAGGAAAAGGGGGAAUCCUUUGGCCUUCUUGGCAAUGAGAACUCACAUCUUCUUUGAUAUGGAGUUGUAUCCCUUACCUAAUAGAGCAGACAACAAAUACUCUUUGAGGAGAUACUAGAUCCCUAUUCUUGAUCACCUCUCCUCUUCCAUGUUUCUCUCACAUAACUCUUCACACAUUUUCUCCCCAUUCCUUUUAAUUUUUUAUUAAUAUUUUAUUACUGACCCAAGAGUUUCUUCAGUUUGGAUUUUUUGUGCAGCACCAUUUUAACGUUCCCUUUUAGCAUUCCAGAGACAUUGGUCCUCUUACUCCUGUUCACUAUCUACUUCUAGAGAUGUAAUGCACCUGCAGAUAUAAAGAGGUGAUUCAAAGUAAACCUUACGUAGCAAUCUGCUAGAUGGAGAGACAAGUCUGUCUGUAGAUCAUAGAAUAGAAUUGUGUCAUAGAAUCGUUUGAGUUGGAAGGGACCCUUAAAGGCCAUCUAGUCCAACUCCCCUGUAGUGAACAGACACCUACAGCUAGAUUAGGGUGCUUAGAGCCCCAUCCAGCCUGACGUUGAAUGUCUCCAGCAAUGCAGCAUCCACCACUUUUCUGGACAACCCAUCACAGUGUUUCACUACCCUUACAGUAAAAAACUUCCUCCUUAUAGCCACAGAUUCUAGGCUUUUACUGGAAAAUCGUAAAUCUUCACUAAUAGACCUCUGGUUCAGUACUGUAGUGGUGACUUUCAGUACUCAUGAUAAACAAAAGGAAAAUGAGCACAUUGUUUGUAUUGCUGAUUUAAGCUGCCACCAGGAAUACAUGCUUAUUUGACAGUGAUGGUGGUGAUUAUGAUUUGUAAUACUUGUGAUAGCUCCGAUUCACAACAGUCUUGAAGCUGAGCUUCUGACAUACUGUUUGUCACAGGAGAUUUUUUUUGUGACGUUUACUAAGAUGGGGUUUUCUUUUAUUUGAAAAUUGAUCUUAUUCUGAACAAUGUCCUGUGUAUCAACUUUCCAGUGCUGUCAGGCUCUAUAUUCAAUGAGUGUCAAGCCUCCUGUUAACAAAGUUAUCUGUCUUUCUACACUUCGAGACUGCAGACCAUCCCUAGUGCUGUAAGUUGAAUUCACAUCAAAGCUUUCUUCUCCCUAACCCAAUUUAAGGAUGUCAGAAAGACAAGUCUUUUAAGAAAAGGAGAAAUUCCCUAUGUAAUUUCUUGCACUCCUGCUCGAACGCAGAGGAUUCUCUGACCCUCUGCACUUUUUAGCAAGAGGAUUUUUGCUGGAAUCUAUGCCUUGGUGCAGAAUUCUCUGUAUUGCUGGUAUUCUUGGCUCAAUGAAGAAUUUUUUAAAUGGGAAAUUCUCAGGCUAAACAGAAGGGAGUCUGUGCUGAAUUUGCAGGCUCUAAACUACACAACUCUCUGUGAGGAGAUCCAGAAAUGAAGGAUCUGGGGUUUAUUAGCUAAAUGUUGAUCAGGGGCAGAGGAACAGGAAGGAAAGUAGGAGACGGCACUGAACUCCUGCUACACCUCAUGUCUUUGCAGAUCACUGAUGCUAACAGCCUUAGGACUGCUUUAAAUCAUCCUGUAACUACAGCAUCAUAAAUGGUCUUCAGGGUUAGAGGGCAAGAGAGUUCGAUGUCCUGUCAGUUGUGAUGACGCUUUCACUCCCAAAAGAAGAAAACAAGAGAAAGCUUAUUCUAACUUACAACUAUUUCAGUGAAAAUUAUAGGAUAAUUUUGAUACAUUUUGGAGUGAAAGUCUUUUCUGUCUGACUUUCUAAGUUAAUGUCAGGAGAUGUAGCUGACUUUAUGACAAGUUGGGUCUUCAGUUUAGGAACUGGAACAGGUAAGAAAUUCAGAAUGUGCUGUUGAGAUGCUGUGAAAACUACUUAAUAGAAAGUUUCACUACAUGCUAUUAGAUUUAAUUAAAUAACGAGUUAAGCUUCCACUGAGAUAGACUUACAAAACUGCUAUUUCUCUGAGUGUUUUUUUUUUUUUAAUUAUACGUUAACUAUCUCCAACAUUCCGAAUGAAAAAAAAUGUUUUAGAAGAGUGUUCUUCCUCUGGGUUGUAGCAGAAUAGAGUAUGUUAUUCAAUAGCCGUCUAAUCGCAAGACCACUGAAACAGCUUGUAUUUCGUAAUUUCAAGGCAGGCUAACACUGCAACUGUAGUUGAUGCUAUAACAGCAUGGAGGCCGCAGAUACCCUGAAUUAGUCAAAACAAGAGGAUUCCUUUUUUCCUAGGUAACUCAAAGCAGAGAGGCAGCUUUGAUCUCCUGUUUAUCUGAAGAUUUGUCCUUCUGAAAUUGUGGAAGCCUCUCAAGUUCAACUAAGCAGGAUUUCUAUCUAUUGUUUUGGGGCAUCUGGAACUAGUGGGGAAUACAGUGCUUUCCCAGCUUCACAUUUUAUUUUUCCAUUGCACCCUGAAGCUACACAGUGCACUGCCAAGAGAAAACUAAUUCAGCGGUAUAAAUUAAAAAUAGGAUUCUCGUGACACAAAGUGCAUAAAUAUGUUCUACUUGUAUAAUGAUUUUGCAGCAGUGAUAUGUCUCCAUUAUGAACUCUUCCCAACUGGCGAGACGCAUCUUACAUUGCCAGUAUGCAUAGGUAGAGAGAAAUAAAAUGGUAAAAUCUUAUACUGAGGAAAUUAAUGACUGAUUCUUUAGGGAAAAGUAUUGGCAACAUUUCUUUGUUACAUCCAGUUACCCUUGAACUAUUUUUCCUUUAGAAAAAAAACAACCCUAAGUAAAUGUUUUAAGUAGGACUUAAAGAUUAACAAUCAGGACUGCAUUAAGACUGAAAUUUUUAAAAGUUUCACAUACUCACAUUAUUCUUGUGCAAGUCAUAACAAUGUUCUCAGUUAUGCCUCACUAUUAGAAAUGCAGCUAAAACCAUGUACUUUAAAUAAAUAAUACUGUAAAUAAAACUCUGAACCAAGUAUUAUGAUUUUCUUACUAUUUAGUGGGGGGUGAAAUAUCUUUAACAGAAGCCUUAUCACCCUCAGGAAGUCACAGACAACAGCUACCAAGAGUCUCCAGUUCCCACCUCUAGCUGUCCAGAGAGCACUGGGACAGAAUAACCAGGGAUCCAAAACACUGCGAGUAGGUGGCAGCAACCUACCCUCAGAUAAGGCCCAGCAGUUAUUACCACAAUGUAACAACGUUUUUACAUUAAUAAAAAUUGGUUAUCAGAAAGACCAGCAGUCACAGUAAGAUCUAAGAGCCAGUACACCUAGGGAGAAAAGGAAUCUUACCAAAGCAAGACUACAAACCAUAAGUUUAAUGACGAUAACAACUAACAUCACCCUAAGCAUGUUUCUUCAUCACAGUGGACUUUACAUGAAGCACACUUAAAGGUGUGACAUUAGUGAAGAACAGAUGCAGACCUAGGAUAUGCAUUUAUUAGCAAGUAAUCAGAUGAUCUAGCAAUCCACUUAACCUCAUAAGGCCUGAAUAGCAGCACAGCCUUUCCUCACCUGCACCCUACUCUCAGCUGUGCGCAAGAUUCUGCCUAAGCAGAAGUAACUGAUGAACCAAGGGUCUUAGUGGCCUUUACAUUAGCUUCAAAAAUAAAUAAAGCAGGGCCUAUCAGCUAUUUAAGCUUUUUUCCAGCUCCAUUUAUUUGAAGUAUCCUUUCAGAUAGCUAUUAUCACCCCUGAAAUAGAUUUACCCAGCAAUUAGCUCUAGCUUGACAAAUCAUUUGGGUCCAAUUUACAUUUAUUUCUCCCACAGAACAAAACAACAAGGGAGUAAGUUCCAAGUUCCUUUAGUUUGUUCCGUGAAUACUGUUGUUUCUAUCCCAGUAAAGCUUGGAUAGAAAAUGAUUAUUCAUAAGAAAGGACCUCAAGAUAGACUGGAUUUGGUAAGUGAUUGUCUGCUAAAAAUGAUUCAACCUCCCAGAUCAUAGAAUUGUUAGAGAUGUAAGGGACUUUUGAAGGUCACCUAGUCCAACUCCCCUGCAGUGAACAGGGACAACCACAGCCAGAUGACAUUGCUCAGAGCCUUGUCAAGCCUGACCUUGAAUGUCUCCAGGGAUGGGGUGUCCACCACAGAGGACACUAAUUCCAGCGCCUCACCACCCUCACUAUAAAAAACUUCUUCCUUAUAUCCAAUCUAAGUCUCCCCUCUUUUAGUCUGAAACCAUUUCCCCCUUGUCCUCUCACAGCUCUCUUGUUCCAAAUGCUUAAAUUGUAGGGGAAAAAAUGAAGUGGCUUAACUAUCAACUUCCUAACAAAGCCAUUAAAGCUGAAUCUCUACAAAUUCAGGCCCUAUAUAGUAGAAAGAAUGAUUACAGAAAAAUAUACCUACUUGAAUCCUUACUCCGUGGGAUACUGAGUAGCUCCCAACUCUCCAGCUCAACUGCUGCAAGAGCUAAGUACUCUCCCUAACUCAAAAGGUUUCAAAAAUCCCAAGAAUUUAACAAGCAAGGAAUGAAGAAACCUACAGCUAACCAACUGAGUUAACACAUCAGAAAGCAAUUGUGAUGUUGUCUAUUGUAAGCAGGUGGUUAAUCAUGGAUGUUUACUAUCCCCGCCUACAGCAAGGGGUUUAGAACUAGAUGAUCUUAAAGGUUCCUUCCAACUCAAACCAUGCUAUGAUUACUUGUUUGCUACAAGCCUACUCUGACUUCUUUGUAAGCAGCAAGUGUUCUGUUAACAGCUAUUAAAAAUUCUUGACACCAACCUCACGUCCAUCAUAGUACUGUUUCAUAAUAGACUUUAUUCACACAUCUGUUGAACGUGGUAGUUCAGCCCCAUGAAAUUCUUAUAUUUAAUACGCAUUCAAAUUAAUCUUGAUUCCCCGCUUUAGGAAUAUUCUUUGAUUUAUGCUGGUUGAUCAAUGCUGAGACAGUGCCUCUUAAUGGGCAAAGAAAAGUACAAAAUCUGCAGUCCUGAUCUUAUUAACAGUGUAGAGAAUCCAUGCUUACCGAAAAUACUACAGGUUUAAAAAGGCCUAUCUGUUUAACUAAACCAGGCGGCUUCCAAUAGAGCAGGUUCUUAGGGAAGAUGCUCCUUACCAUAUUAAUUCUUCCUCCUCACACACUAUUUAUUGCUUUAUGCCUCGAUCAUAUGGGCACACACUCAAUUUCAUAGCAUUAUUCCCAACAACAUGGUGUGAAGUUGCAGGACCACAGUCUUACCCAAGAACAACUCCUUCGCCAAGUUAACUCCUAGUAACAAAGUUUUUAUGAUAACAAAAAGAUAGUAGAGAAAUUAAAAGAAUAGUAAGUUGUAAAGUACUUAUUCUCAAGCCUGAUAGAUCAAAUGAGAUGUCUGACAUCAAAUAUUUCUGUAUUAUUCCAAAAAAAUCACACGCAUUCACAGAAUGCCUAGCAGCAUCCAUUCCCCAAUGUUCUAGGCUGUAGUUUGACUGCCCUCAUAACACAAUGGAAAGCACAAUGGCAACAGCACAGUAGCAAGAUCCCAGGCUGCAGCAAAUGAGAAUUCACUCAACUACAACAGCGGUAGGCACAGAAAUAAAGGAAAAAAGCUGCUCACCUUCAGAAAGCCUCAGGUACACAGGGACCUCCAGAGAGAGAUCUCCCUUCCUUCCCCUGGCCAACCCUUAUAUGAGGUCUGGGACUAGGUGGAUCGUGGCUCCAGCCCUGCCAGUCACUCAGGUGCAUUGCUUGCACCUGAGCUUCCCUGGGUUGGCCCUGCCUUCCUAUCAGGUGCUCAAUCACUACCUCAAGCUGUCGCCUAGCAUUUCCACUACAGCCCUCAGCCCUGACAAUGCUCUGAGGACCACUGUGUGCCUGCCACCUACUUCCACCCGCACCCCCUAAAAGGGAUUCAAUAUUGUUGGCAAUUCUGUAGUUCAACGUCUGAAGUCUAUCUGCAAACUCUGCUUGCAAACUCUAUGUGUCGAAGUAAAAGGUUUCUUCACAUGCUAACUAUUUUUCCUGAAAAAUAAGGUUUGCAUUUGUACUAAGAGGAAACAUUAAGAAAAAUACAAUUAGAAGAGAGGAAAUAUCACAAAAAAAAUAUGUGAAAAUAUGUGAAGAAAGUAAAUGAACGUAAAAGAAAAUGACUAAUCCAACUUAAAAGGAUAAAGCUUGUUUUGUCACCACCACCGACAGUCUCUCUGAUACGCAGGACACUGUGAACUUAAACCAGGAUGAUUAUUCACACUUUGUUGUUGUUGUGUGGAAGUGGGCAAAUGCUCAUUUUCCAUCCACUGAUCAUCCUACUGCAUUUUCAGGCUCAGCUGCUCUCCAGCUCCUGCAGCAACGUCAGGAACAUCCCCACCUGCAAUACAGUUAACAAAACAGAUGUGGGUUCUAUUCUUAUGCACACGCUUAAUUUUAUAGUGCUGAGAACAGUCUGAGGCUGUUAACCGUCAGCGGGAUCAGUGCAAUUAUUUAUGUCUGUACAAUUAACAGAGCUCUGUGCAGAUUCUGAGGGGUUUUUUUUUAGUCACACUUUUGCUCCAAAUCAUUAGUAACAUUGUAGGACUGUAUAAAUAUAGAUAAAGAUGAUAAUAGAACUGGAGUGGGGCAGAAAAAAAAAAAAGAAGA